GGUUCUAAAAUUCAGAUAAACGGAUUUUGCCAAUAACCCCUCGCACGGAAUCAAUAUUAAUGGAGUUAAUGUUAGACCUCAUCCUUGGUGCUCAAGCAACCUUGCAAAAGGACGCGCAUCGAUUUCCACGCGGACAUUAAUCCGCCCACAACCUUGUCUGCCGACAUUCGCCCAUUCAACUUCAACAAAGGAAGCGUGGGAGAGGAAGUCGUCGGCAUUGAUAUGUGUCCCCGUGUGCGGCUAGCAUCUUGCCCACGUGUGCAGCCUCUCCGCGUCCCAUCCUAAUCUUCGGGCGUCUCCGCUGGAUCGCCGGUGGACUCCUCCUCCCUUGCCGCUGUUGUCCUCUCGUGAGGCUGACUGGAGACUGGAGAGAGGAGGAUGGAUUUGAGAAGAAUGGUGGAGUAGUUGAGCAGGAUUACUGUUCGAUGAAAUGCUCGAAAGAGGGGAGUGGAAAAAAGUCGCGAUCGACCUGUCAGCAAGCAUGGGCAUGGCCUGGAUCAAAGUUCAGCAGCAGUGGCGCUUUGGCGAGCAGCUUGCCCACAUAUGCACCCUCUCUGCAUCCCAUCCUAAUCUUCGGGUGGCCCCAUCAGAUUGCUGGUGGACUUCUCCGCCCUUGCCGCUAUCCUCGUCACUCGACGCGGACCGGAGAAUGUAGGAUGGAGUUGAGAAGAAUAGUAGAGUGGUUGAGCAGGGUUGCUGUUCGAUAAAAUGCUCGAGAGAGGGGAGUGGAAAGACAUCACGAUCGCCCUGUGAGCAAGCAUGGGCAUGUCUUGGAUCAAGUUCCACAGCAGUGGAAAUGCUAGCAUGGGACAAAUAGAAAGGGACUGAAUAAUUGAUGAACGGCAAUGGAAAGCCUUUCCUUUUUUUAAUUUCGGUACUAGUUGAAGGCAUUUGGAGUGCGGUUUAUGAUGGAUAAUUAAUCUUCUCUUGGCUUUCUCAAAAAAAAAAAAUUCUAAAAUGUUUCCCUCCA